AGUGAACGCUGGCGGUAUGCCUAACACAUGCAAGUCGAACGGCAGCACAGGAGCUUGUACCUGGUACCGGGUGGCGGUCGGGGGCGUAAUACAUCGGCAUCUGUAUCGACGUGGGGGUUAGGGCGGCGAAAGCCGGAUUAAUACCGCAUACGCUCAACGGCUGAGAGCGAAGGCCGGUGGGCCCUCGAGCUUGCGGGAUGGCCGGUGGCUGAGUAGGUUGGUGGAGGGGGAAAGGCCAACCAAGGCGACGGUCAGUAGCCGGACCUAGGGGACGAGCAGCCCAACUGGGACUGGGACACGGCCCAGACUCCUACGGGGGGCAGGAGUGGGGAAUUUUGGACAAUGGGCCGAAGCCUGAUCCAGCAAUGCCGGGUGUGGGAAGGAGGCCUUCGGGGUUUAAAGCACUUUUUUCCGGAAAGAAAACCUUGACUCUAAAACAGUCGGGGUAUUACGGUACCGGAAGAAUAAGCACCGGCUUACUUCGUG
rnacentral:rRNA from 1 species